UACGGGGGGGGCAAGCGUUGUUCGGAAUUACUGGGCGUAAAGGGCUUGUAGGUGGCCAACUAAGUCAGACGUGAAAUCCCUCGGCUUAACCGGGGAACUGCGUCUGAUACUGGAUGGCUGGAGUGUGGGAGAGGGAAGCGGAAUUUCCGGUGUAGCGGUGAAAUGCGUAGAUAUCGGAAGGAACAUCAGUGGCGAAAGCGGCUUCCUGGACCAGUACCGACGUUCAGGCACGAAAGCGUGGGGAGCAAACAGG
rnacentral:rRNA from 1 species